UUGCGGUCUGGGUCAGUUGCAGAUGCUGUCGGUCAGUUCUGUGAACUCGCGGGGCACUUGGACCGUCCCCACAGCCCACUGACCGAUCGUGUGGUCAUCAGCCAACCCGCCCCCAAGGCCGGUCAGAGGGCACAGGAGACUGACGACUGGCUGAUGUGGGAUCGGACUGUGCCAUUUUCAUCUCCAGAUGUGGACCUGGGCUCCAGCUGUGAUUCAGGAGUGAGAUGCUCCGAUGUAGAGAAUGUGGAGCGGGGACAGUGUGAAUUGGCGGGAGGUUCGCUCUCACACUUGGAGAGGGAUACAGCAGAUGGUUCCUUGAAGGAGUGUCCGAUCUGCAAACACCAAUUCCCAGAGGGAUGUGGGAAGCGAGUCCUGGAGAAACACAUCGACAGCCAUUUCUUCAUGAGCACCAACGACCCAUUCACCUUCCAGUGACCCAGCACCUCACCUUUCUGUCUAUCCCACACCCCCCACCCACUCCAUCCACAAGCUAUCAUUCCCAGCACCCGCUCCCUCAGCACUGACCCUCCCACAGCACCCACUCCCUCAGCACUGACCCUCCCACAGCACCCACUCCCUCAGCACUGACCCUCCCACAGCACCCGCUCCCUCAGCACUGACCCUCCCACAGCGCCCGCUCCCUCAGCACUGAC